rnacentral:lncRNA from 1 species
CUGCAACCAGUCACUAGAGAGCAUCUAUAAUGCUAAGGUACAAUUUAAGCUUACUUUUUGAAAAUCAUGUGAGGUAUGUUUUCAAAUCCACCAUGAAGUAGACAAUCAGCAAAAACACUAUAGCUUGAACAUGUUUCUAACCACGAAGUAUGAGCUAAGCUUGAACACUUUUACAGACCUCUCUUUGAAAACCAUUGCUCGUUAUUAGCG